CUGAAUCAGUGUGUGUGUUAGUGGAAGCGUCUGGAAAGGCGCGCGAUACAGGGUGACAGCCCCGUACACAAAAAUGCACAUGCUGUGAGCUCGAUGAGUAGGGCGGGACACGUGGUAUCCUGUCUGAAUAUGGGGGGACCAUCCUCCAAGGCUAAAUACUCCUGACUGACCGAUAGUGAACCAGUACCGUGAGGGAAAGGCGAAAAGAACCCCGGCGAGGGGAGUGAAAAAGAACCUGAAACCGUGUACGUACAAGCAGUGGGAGCACAGAGCAAUCUGUGUGACUGCGUACCUUUUGUAUAAUGGGUCAGCGACUUAUAUUCUGUAGCAAGGUUAACCGAAUAGGGGAGCCGAAGGGAAACCGAGUCUUAACUGGGCGUUAAGUUGCAGGGUAUAGACCCGAAACCCGGUGAUCUAGCCAUGGGCAGGUUGAAGGUUGGGUAACACUAACUGGAGGACCGAACCGACUAAUGUUGAAAAAUUAGCGGAUGACUUGUGGCUGGGGGUGAAAGGCCAAUCAAACCGGGAGAUAGCUGGUUCUCCCCGAAAGCUAUUUAGGUAGCGCCUCGUGAAUUCAUCUCCGGGGGUAGAGCACUGUUUCGGCAAGGGGGUCAUCCCGACUUACCAACCCGAUGCAAACUGCGAAUACCGGAGAAUGUUAUCACGGGAGACACACGGCGGGUGCUAACGUCCGUCGUGAAGAGGGAAACAACCCAGACCGCCAGCUAAGGUCCCAAAGUCAUGGUUAAGUGGGAAACGAUGUGGGAAGGCCCAGACAGCCAGGAUGUUGGCUUAGAAGCAGCCAUCAUUUAAAGAAAGCGUAAUAGCUCACUGGUCGAGUCGGCCUGCGCGGAAGAUGUAACGGGGCUAAACCAUGCACCGAAGCUGCGGCAGCGACGCUGAUGCGUUGUUGGGUAGGGGAGCGUUCUGUAAGCCUGUGAAGGUGUGCUGUGAGGCAUGCUGGAGGUAUCAGAAGUGCGAAUGCUGACAUAAGUAACGAUAAAGCGGGUGAAAAGCCCGCUCGCCGGAAGACCAAGGGUUCCUGUCCAACGUUAAUCGGGGCAGGGUGAGUCGACCCCUAAGGCGAGGCCGAAAGGCGUAGUCGAUGGGAAACAGGUUAAUAUUCCUGUACUUGGUGUUACUGCGAAGGGGGGACGGAGAAGGCUAUGUUGGCCGGGCGACGGUUGUCCCGGUUUAAGCGUGUAGGCUGGUUUUCCAGGCAAAUCCGGAAAACUAAGGCUGAGGCGUGAUGACGAGGCACUACGGUGCUGAAGCAACAAAUGCCCUGCUUCCAGGAAAAGCCUCUAAGCAUCAGGUAACAUCAAAUCGUACCCCAAACCGACACAGGUGGUCAGGUAGAGAAUACCAAGGCGCUUGAGAGAACUCGGGUGAAGGAACUAGGCAAAAUGGUGCCGUAACUUCGGGAGAAGGCACGCUGAUAUGUAGGUGAAGUCCCUCGCGGAUGGAGCUGAAAUCAGUCGAAGAUACCAGCUGGCUGCAACUGUUUAUUAAAAACACAGCACUGUGCAAACACGAAAGUGGACGUAUACGGUGUGACGCCUGCCCGGUGCCGGAAGGUUAAUUGAUGGGGUCAGCGCAAGCGAAGCUCUUGAUCGAAGCCCCGGUAAACGGCGGCCGUAACUAUAACGGUCCUAAGGUAGCGAAAUUCCUUGUCGGGUAAGUUCCGACCUGCACGAAUGGCGUAAUGAUGGCCAGGCUGUCUCCACCCGAGACUCAGUGAAAUUGAACUCGCUGUGAAGAUGCAGUGUACCCGCGGCAAGACGGAAAGACCCCGUGAACCUUUACUAUAGCUUGACACUGAACAUUGAGCCUUGAUGUGUAGGAUAGGUGGGAGGCUUUGAAGUGUGGACGCCAGUCUGCAUGGAGCCGACCUUGAAAUACCACCCUUUAAUGUUUGAUGUUCUAACGUUGACCCGUAAUCCGGGUUGCGGACAGUGUCUGGUGGGUAGUUUGACUGGGGCGGUCUCCUCCUAAAGAGUAACGGAGGAGCACGAAGGUUGGCUAAUCCUGGUCGGACAUCAGGAGGUUAGUGCAAUGGCAUAAGCCAGCUUGACUGCGAGCGUGACGGCGCGAGCAGGUGCGAAAGCAGGUCAUAGUGAUCCGGUGGUUCUGAAUGGAAGGGCCAUCGCUCAACGGAUAAAAGGUACUCCGGGGAUAACAGGCUGAUACCGCCCAAGAGUUCAUAUCGACGGCGGUGUUUGGCACCUCGAUGUCGGCUCAUCACAUCCUGGGGCUGAAGUAGGUCCCAAGGGUAUGGCUGUUCGCCAUUUAAAGUGGUACGCGAGCUGGGUUUAGAACGUCGUGAGACAGUUCGGUCCCUAUCUGCCGUGGGCGCUGGAGAACUGAGGGGGGCUGCUCCUAGUACGAGAGGACCGGAGUGGACGCAUCACUGGUGUUCGGGUUGUCAUGCCAAUGGCACUGCCCGGUAGCUAAAUGCGGAAGAGAUAAGUGCUGAAAGCAUCUAAGCACGAAACUUGCCCCGAGAUGAGUUCUCCCUGACUCCUUGAGAGUCCUGAAGGAACGUUGAAG
rnacentral:rRNA from 1 species